rnacentral:rRNA from 1 species
AGAGUUUGAUCCUGGCUCAGGAUGAACGCUAGCGGCAGGCUUAACACAUGCAAGUCGAGGGGCAGCACAGGGAGCAAUCCUGGGUGGCGACCGGCGGAAGGGUGCGUAACGCGUGAGCAACUUGCCCGUAUCUGGGAGAUAACCGAUGGAAACGUCGACUAAUAUCCCAUAAUACAAUUUGUGGCAUCGCAGAUUGUUAAAAGAGAAUCGGAUACGGAUAGGCUCGCGUGACAUUAGCUAGUUGGAGUGGUAACGGCACACCAAGGCGACGAUGUCUAGGGGUUCUGAGAGGAAGGUCCCCCACACUGGAACUGAGACACGGUCCAGACUCCUACGGGAGGCAGCAGUGAGGAAUAUUGGUCAAUGGGCGAAAGCCUGAACCAGCCAUGCCGCGUGAAGGAAUAAGGCCCUAUGGGUCGUAAACUUCUUUUGACGGGGAGCAAUAAGGUCUACGUGUAGGCCGAUGAGAGUACUCGUCGAAUAAGCAUCGGCUAACUCCGUGCCAGCAGCCGCGGUAAUACGGAGGAUGCGAGCGUUAUCCGGAUUUAUUGGGUUUAAAGGGUGCGCAGGCGGGCUGUCAAGUCAGCGGUAAAAUAGCGGGGCUCAACCCCGUCGAGCCGUUGAAACUGGCAGCCUAGAGUGGGCGAGAAGUAUGCGGAAUGCGUGGUGUAGCGGUGAAAUGCAUAGAUAUCACGCAGAACUCCGAUUGCGAAGGCAGCAUACCGGCGCCCGACUGACGCUCAUGCACGAAAGCGUGGGGAUCGAACAGGAUUAGAUACCCUGGUAGUCCACGCAGUAAACGAUGAAUACUAAUUGUUCGGCGCGAAUGAGCGCUGAGUGAUACAGCGAAAGCGUUAAGUAUUCCACCUGGGGAGUACGCCGGCAACGGUGAAACUCAAAGGAAUUGACGGGGGCCCG